rnacentral:rRNA from 1 species
GACGAACGCUGGCGGCGUGCUUAACACAUGCAAGUCGAACGGAAAGGCCCUGCUUUUGUGGGGUGCUCGAGUGGCGAACGGGUGAGUAACACGUGAGUAACCUGCCCUUGACUUUGGAAUAACUUCAGGAAACUGGGGCUAAUACCGGAUAGGAGCUCCUGCUGCAUGGUGGGGGUUGGAAAGUUUCGGCGGUUGGGGAUGGACUCGCGGCUUAUCAGCUUGUUGGGGGGGUAGUGGCUUACCAAGGCUUUGACGGGUAGCCGGUCUGAGAGGGUGACCGGCCACAUUGGGACUGAGAUACGGCCCAGACUCCUACGGGAGGCAGCAGUGGCGAAUAUUGCACAAUGGGCGGAAGCCUGAUGCAGCAACGCCGCGUGCGGGAUGACGGCCUUCCGGUUGUAAACCGCUUUCGCCUGUGACGAAGCGUGAGUGACGGUAAUGGGUAAAGAAGCACCGGCUAACUCCGUG